rnacentral:tRNA from 1 species
AUGCCCGUAAAGGGCAACCAGAUCGCUCAUAACGGUCUGGUUGCAGGUUCGAGUCCUGCCGGGCCCACCA